UGUCACGUGAAGGAUUUGCAGCAGCAGCAGCUCCAGAGUGACGCCUGAUGCUCGGGAGUGCUGAGCUUAACCCGUCGCCCGCUCUGUUUGAGGUGCCCUUCUAUGAAUUUUGGCAACUGCAUACUUGCUUUAUCGCUCUGCAAAUGCACUCCCAUUAAAAAAACCCCAACCAAACAAAAAACAAAAAAACAAACCCUCAGCUUUUCACCGUUUGAUGUGUGUCCUCGGCCCCAUUCAUUUGCUAGACGUUUUCCUCCUUUGAUCUAUUGGUAAUGGUGUUCAUUUAGGAGAGGUAUUCAGCUGAGCAGGCUUCGAUAUUCUGUCAAGGAAUUUGAAUAAAUACAAUUAUUUCUUAUUUUCUAACAUGGAGUAGCUAAGAGCUUUAGACAUAGAAAAAGCAUGGGGCAAAAAGGAAUUUCAGGGCUUCCUUUAAUAGAGCUUUACAAUGCAGUCAGUAAAUCUGGCUUGUUAAUGAAAUGUUCCUAAUAGCUACAGUUAGGGCCUCUGCUGACUUUAUCUUUGAAUUGAAAAUAAUUUUUUUCAAUGAACCUUUCAAUGCUAAACUUUUAUUGCCAUGUUGCUGGCUUGGUUGAUCAUAGUUUUUAUGUGAACUCUAUCUUUCCUAACUGGAAGAGCAGGGAUGUCGUAUAAUAUCUAUUUAAAGCACGACCAGUGUUCAUCAGUCAACAGAUUUUUUGGCAAAUUAAAUAUUCCUGGUUAUUAAUAUUGGUGGGAAAAAAAAUGAAUGUAUUUUUUGAACGCAAGUCCAGAAAAAUAGUUCCAACACUUUUUUGAGGGGUGGGUCUAUUUUUAUAAUUUUUUAACCAUGCUUGCUCCCUAAGAGAGUUCGUUGCAGGGAAAGAAUGGUACAGCAAGAUAAUGCCAUGUUCUCUCCCAGCCUCUGCCUAGCAAAAGGGAAAUGUGCUGGGGAUUUAUUCUGUUGCCUGGAGCUGACAGACUGACUUCUUCCUGCCCCUGGAAUGGUGCAGGUGGGCCAGAACACUUGCACCGGCACCCUGGUUUAACUUUUUUUGGUGAGAACAAGUGCCUGAGUGACCUGGUUAGCAAGCACUGUGCUUUACUUAUUAAGCAGUGACUAAUACAAUGCAAAGGAUUAAUUUUGAUUUCUCCACCAACUGCUUCCCCCUCCCCCACACUCUUACACUCUUCUUAUCCCUGCUUUUUUCUUCUCAAUCUCUUACAGUCUGGCUGAAAUGCUGAUUUUUUUUUUCCUCUGCUCCUGAAACAACUUUGGGCCAUUCCAUUUUUUAUUUUAGUUUGCUGGGUUCUCUUUGCAUAAUAGAUCAUCUUUGUCCGAAAAGCAGUGCCAACAGCCACUCCCAGUGCCAUUCAUACACAGUAUGUGUCUUGCCCCGGAUCCUGUCACAUGAGGUUUCCCAUGUUAGGUGUGGUGCUGAAUGUGCUAAACAGAACUCAGACACAAAGGGGAAAUGACCAAAACCCAUGGCCUUAGAUUCAUGGCUCUCUACCAGCCCCUUCAUGCAGAACUCCCAUCAAAAGUCAGUAUUUCUGUGCAUCCAGUGCGGGCAGGACCAAACCCUUAAAACCAGAUAACAUUCAGAUCCCCAGUACAGUAUUUGUGGCAUCAGUGGGGUGAAAUCAUCUGCAUUUCAAGGCAGAAUGCAUUCAUCUGUACUUUCUCCUGGCUUUUGUUCGCAAAAAACAACAACCCCCCCCCCACACACACACACAUUAGCAGAGCCAUGUUACUGCUUCCUGCUUCUGUUGUUUAGUGUUUUGCAGCUACCACGGCUGGCCAAGAAGCUGUAAAUCUUGCCUUGUGUUCUGUAACAAAGAGAAAAAUAGAAUGAUUUGUGUUGACUUUUGGUCAUCGUGUAUCAUUAUCGAUCCGAGGGAGGGCGGCGGGGGAACGCGUUACCGUGUAUCUGUUGCUCGCCAGUUCUCCGGGAAGGCGGCGUUACCCGGCAGUCAGUAGAGGGCAAUAGAGAAAUACAGUUUUGUGAUGCCUAAAGGAUUUGAAGCCCUGAUUAUGUGUUUACAGAAAAGAAAAAGAAGAAAAGAAGAGCCAGGAGGAUAGGUUGUUCAGUUUACUACCGGAGACCUGACUGUGACAGACUACCAAGGAAACAAAAUUUUCUAAGAGUAAAGAAGACCUUCUGCAGCGUUUGCAAGGGUCUCCUUUUUUUCUUCAGAGUUACGUGGGAUAACUUAGCCAGAACUUAUUGAUGUCUGCAUGUUCAGUGGACUCGGGAAUGGACUGGGAGAUGCAGAAAGGCACUCUUUGGAAGGAACAGAAGAGGAGGCAUUUCAAAAAUCCUGCAGGUGACCGAGGUGAUGAUCUGCUGACAGAAUAAAUAAAUCAUAGAUAGUACUGAGACUGCUCAGCCAUUUGCUGUGGUAUCACUUCUACAUAAGACACCAGAAUCCUGACAUUAUUGUAUUUGGGAAAAGUGAUGGGAUCGCCAAGACUUUAUGCUGCUAGGUCUGGGCCUGUGCCUUCCUCAUCAGCAUGUCUAUUAAUGUCAAGACUGAGGACAUGAGAAGGUUGAGGUGACCAGCGCACAGUAGUGAAAAAGAUGCCAGUACAAGGAUCAAGACCAAAAGUGAUCAGACUUCAGACAGAGAAGGAGUAGGAAAAUUGCUGAGGUCUCCACACAGGUGUCUGAUAACAGUCCCACCAAGGUGAAAGUCAAACUGUCUCACAACUCAGCCUCUUCUCCCUAGUGCCUGUGGAGGCAGCUUCCAGCAUGACACAUCCCAUCUUUGCCUCUCCAGAGUAUGGGACUGCUCGCAUCGUUCUUUGAAGGGUCUAGUGCUGGUACUUCUAGACACUAGGCUGUUUCCUUUCAGGAAGUUUCUUCUCCAUGUUCUGCAGACUGCUGGUACUGAUGACGAAAAUGAAGAGGCCACUCAUCAGGAGAGAGGCUUUUAAUGAUCAGGCUUUCCGCUUACUUCAGGAAUACUGUUGAAAAAGCUUUCAGCAUUACUGAACAACAACCAGAGUUCCCAGCAACACUGUGUUGGACAGCCCUGCUUGUUGGAAGAAGGUGAAGAAGGAGCUUCCUACUUGGGUACCUUGGGAGGGAAGUGACCGUUGUGGAUGGAGGCGUGCAGACAACAUACCCAAAGUCCCACUGCUUUCCUGUGCAGGGAAAUCCUUCAGCUUGACUGGAGUCAGAGGAAACCUGGUCUCCGUCCCCACACAAGGUCACACUGCAGUCUUGGGGAUCAAUUUUCCUGAAUAAACCAGAGGUUUCCUCCCAGUGGACACUCCUAUGCUCUCUUUCUCUAGCAAGCAGUUUUGAUUCAGGAAACUUUUUCUGCUGAUUGGGUAUCAGCUGAUUGUUACUGGAGUGCUGGGGUACUGGAGAGUUGGAUGAUGAAAUGCCUGACCUGUGGCUGCCCAAUCUUAUGCUUCUUCUUCUCUUCAAUAAUGCUCCCACACAGACAUCCAUUUACUUAUCUAACCACGGGCUAACUUUUUGUCUGGUUUUUUUUGAACCGUUGUGGGAUUUGUUUCCAGUAGGCGUAUUACUUGAUUAAUGACCUUUCUGUUAACACUUGCUCAUAUUCCAUAUGGGAUCUUCUUGGGCUAUCUAAAUGCACAAAAUACUUAAACUAAUUUUUUUUCUCAGCUCAUCACUGUUUUUAAUAGCACAAUUUUUUUCUCCUGCCUCCAAAGAAAAAAGAGCAUUUUCUAGCUUGCUCAAGCUCACAUUGAAUGUUUCUUGUGAUUCAUGUUGUCACUUUAUGCAGUAUUCCAAGAAAACAGAGCAUGGACAGGCUCUGUCAGGAAGGGUUUUGUAAUCUAUUUGUCAUUUCUUUUCUGUAUAGAUUAAGGGCUAAAUUUUGUGAUGGCAGAUGAAUUUGUAGACCCCAUCUCCUUGAAAUCAUGCCAGCUAUUCAAAAGAGAGAAGCUGCUUUUCUUUCAACCCAUGAUAGUAGCGCUUUCCUGGAUGCAAGUUGAAAAAAUAUUUACAUCAUUAUAAAUAAGCAGUGUGUAACUAUAAAUAAAGAACACGGGUAAUAAAGUGUUAUCAUUGAAGUUGAAAUUAAAAUUGGAUCCUGCCAAGCCCUAAACAUAGAUCAUGACAGAAAAAUCCAAUAAGGUUUUUUUGUGUGUUUGUUUGUAGGUGCUGUAAUUAUAGACUAGAUAAAGGAAAGAAAAGAUUAUACAGCAGACAUAAUUUGUAAUGAUUACAGUAACAUUUCUGAUGCAAUGCCAUGAAAAGAAUGACUACUUGUGCAUGGCAUCCACACGUGCAUCUACAUCCCUCCUCAGGGAGGUGCCCUCUGCAGCACUUACCUCAUAACCUGAGACAUGUCACAGCCUGUAUGACCAUGGGCUGUGUGACCACAGCUUGUAUGACCACGGUCCUGUUUCCAAAGAAUAUGCUCUGGUGUGCACUGGGUGACUCCUGCUAGGGUUGUCCCUGAACCUGACCUCAUGCAGCUAGAUCCCCCCACCCAGGGGAUCCCCUGUUGUAUGGUAAAUUAAGAAGCCCUGGAGCAGAGGGAUAUGUUGACUGUCUGUAAAUGCAAGACGUUCAUCUUGAAUUAAGUUACUUCUUUAUCACUAGGGUUUGGUCCGAGCACUGUGCCCUCCACUGGCAGAGCAGGAAAAGAUUUGCCUCCAUUGGGAACAUGGACCGUUGUGAAAAAGUGCGGUUGGGCGCAGAAAAGCCCUGAGAGAUGUUCAUGCAAAACCAGAAAGCAUUUCGUUUUAGUUACCAAGAGUGAAGUCUCUUGUUGCCUUUCUGGAAACCAAGGCUUGAGGCCAAAAGCAAUUUCUUGUACUUCAAUAACUGAAAAUAAAGCCUUAAAAAAGAACAUGUCAGGGAAUUAAAUGAGAACCACAAGUUUAGCAGGGCUAGUGAUUGCCCUGGAGAAUAUUGAGGUGAAAUGUAUAGAAAAGAGGGGGUUAGAGACACAGUUAAGUGAAUUACUAGUCCCAUCUGUAACACCUGUCAUAGUCCUGACUGCUGGGUAUUUACUUUCAAAGAAAUCAGCUUGCACUACUGUUUGAUGAAGAGCCCUAAAUCAGGUGUACAGGCGCAAUUACUGAAAAUGAAUCUGUCAGAGCAAAUCUCAGGUAAUCAAAGAGUCCUGUUUGGCCUCCCCUCCUGUACCCAUCCUUGCCUUAGGGAUAACCGAAACCAAUGUUCCUCAAAUCUAUUGGGAAUGAGCAACACAGAUACAAGGUAGACUUACUAAGAAGGUUAAAGCAACUUUAACAUGUUUGCCACAGGCUGAUAAUGGCAUCUGGGAGUCAGCCAUCCACAGGGGCAUGUCAAAUGGUGUUUGUAUCUCCGUGAAAAGAAUCAGGAUUAUUUUAGUGCCAAACAGAACACAUAAUCUGAUGCAAUUUUCAGAAGCACCAUCAGCCCCUGAUAGACAACAUAUACCCACAGCUUCUCACACCUUCCUGCAGUAGCGGGUAUGUUCUGAUAGGGUUUCAGUGCGCAGUGCAUGACAGAUGAUUUGAAAACUGAGUAUUCCUGAGGAAUGGGCAUGAGACUCGUUUGAUUCUCUGAACUCAGUCCAUUGACUAGUGUCUCUGAGCAAAAAUGUUUUUUUCAAUAACUAGAUCUCUGUUUAGUUGUGCCUUUCUUAUUAUAGAUGAGAGUUCCCCCAGCUUGUCCUUUGUCUUUAAGCUAUGCAAGUUUCUGUAGAAAAUUAUGCAAGAAUAUAAAAAAGGCUAUGGACAAUAUCAAGAAAUGAGUAUGCUAACAUUUCUAUUUCUUGGACACAUUUUGGUUGGGUUUAGUUUUUUGUUAUGGUGAUUUUGGUUUUUUGUUUUAAUAAAAUUUUGCUCAAAGGA